AAAACGACUCUCGGCAACGGAUAUCUCGGCUCUCGCAUCGAUGAAGAACGUAGCGAAAUGCGAUACUUGGUGUGAAUUGCAGAAUCCCGUGAACCAUCGAGUCUUUGAACGCAAGUUGCGCCCCAAGCCUUUAGCCUGAGGGCACGUCUGCCUGGGUGUCACGC
rnacentral:rRNA from 1 species